rnacentral:rRNA from 1 species
CAGUAGCCGCGGGAAUACGAAGGGGGCUAGCGUUGCUCGGAAUGACUGGGCGUAAAGGGCGCGUAGGCGGCGAUCAAAGUCAGGCGUGAAAUUCCUGGGCUCAACCUGGGGGCUGCGCUUGAUACUUGGUUGCUUGAGUGGGGAAGAGGGUCGUGGAAUUCCCAGUGUAGAGGUGAAAUUCGUAGAUAUUGGGAAGAACACCGGUGGCGAAGGCGGCGACCUGGUCCUUGACUGACGCUGAGGCGCGAAAGCGUGGGGAGCAAACAGGAUUAGAUACCCCCGUAGUCCCUGUCUCUUAUAC